rnacentral:rRNA from 1 species
AUUGAACGCUGGCGGCAGGCCUAACACAUGCAAGUCGAACGAGUGGCGGACGGGUGAGUAAUUUCUGGGAAACUGCCUGAUGUAGGGGGCUAACUACUGUAAACGGUAGCUAAUACCGCAUACCAUAGUAUGAGCCCACGGGGGAUUAGGUAGUUGGUGAGGUAAAGGCUCACCAAGCCGAGGAUCUAUAGCUGGUCUGAGAGGAUGACCAGCCAAACUGGGACUGAGAAAAGGCACAGACUCCUACGGGAGGAAGCAGGUGGGAAGAUUGCGCAAUGGAAGAAAGUGCGAACGAGCAAAGCCGGGGGAGGGAUGACGGCUUUCGGGUUGGAAAGUUGGUUAAUCGGGACGACGGUAUCGGAAUAGAAAGCCACGGCUAACUACGUGCCAGCAGCCGCGGUAAUAC